rnacentral:rRNA from 1 species
GAUGAACGCUGGCGGCGUGCCUAAUACAUGCAAGUCGAGCGAACGGACGAGAAGCUUGCUUCUCUGAUGUUAGCGGCGGACGGGUGAGUAACACGUGGAUAACCUACCUAUAAGACUGGGAUAACUUCGGGAAACCGGAGCUAAUACCGGAUAAUAUUUUGAACCGCAUGGUUCAAAAGUGAAAGACGGUCUUGCUGUCACUUAUAGAUGGAUCCGCGCUGCAUUAGCUAGUUGGUAAGGUAACGGCUUACCAAGGCAACGAUGCAUAGCCGACCUGAGAGGGUGAUCGGCCACACUGGAGCUGAGACACGGUCCAGACUCCUACGGGAGGGAGCAGUAGGGAAUCUGACGCAAUGGGCGAAAGCCUGACGGAGCAACGCCGCGUGAGUGAUGAAGGUCUUCGGAUCGUAAAACUCUGUUAUUAGGGAAGAACAUAUGUGUAAGUAACUGUGCACAUCGUGACGGUACCUAAUCAGAAAGCCACGGCUAACUACGUG